rnacentral:tRNA from 1 species
GGAUUGUAGCUCAGUGGUAGAGCACUUGCCUAACAUGAGUGAGGCACUAGGUUCAAUCCUCAGCACCA